GAUAUUGUACAAUGGGGGCAACGCUGAUCCAGCCAUGCCGCGUGUGUGAAGAAGGUCUUCGGAUUGUAACGCACUUUAAGUUGGGAGGAAGGGCAGUAAGUGAAUACCUUGCUGUUAUGACGUUACCAACAGAAUAAGCACCGUCUAACUCUGUGCCAGCAGCCGCGGUAAUACAGAGGGUGCAAGCGUUAAUCGGAAUUACUGGGCGUAAAGCGCGCGUAGGUGGUUUGUUAAGUUGGAAGUGAAAGCCCCGGGCUCAACCUGGGAACUGCUUUCAAAACUGGCAAGCUAGAGUAUGGCAGAGGGUGGUGGAAUUUCCUGUGUAGCGGUGAAAUGCGUAGAUAUAGGAAGGAACACCAGUGGCGAAGGCGACCACCUGGACUGAUACUGACACUGAGGUGCGAAAGCGUGGGGAGCAAAC
rnacentral:rRNA from 1 species